UGAGUUAGCCGGACGGUCGCAGCGGCUUGAAAACCGAUGAGGAAAGUCCGAGCAUCAUAGGGCAGAGCGCAAGAUAACGUCUUGUGAGGGCGACCUCAAGGAUAGUGCAACAGAAAUAAACCGCAAGGUAUGCCUUGCAAGGAUGGAAAGGGGAGGUAAGAGCUCACCGGCGGCUUGGCGACAAGCCGCGCUAUGUAAACCCCGCUCGAUGCAAGAGAAUAGGGACAUAUGAGGCUGCCCGCCUUGUUUCUAUAAAUCGCUUUACCCGCUCGGUGACGAUCGGGAUAGACAGAUGACCGUCUGAGACAGAACUCGGCUUACAGACUAACCUCACGAU
rnacentral:RNase_P_RNA from 1 species